rnacentral:ribozyme from 1 species
AGAUAACAAAAAAACAAAGACAAGGCAAUGCCCUACAGGGACAGUAAAUUCCGCAGAGCUCUAGAAGUCUUUCCUUUCUUUUUCUUCUUCUUUUUCUUGUUUCUUGAUCAU